rnacentral:rRNA from 1 species
GAGCCUGACGCAGCGACGCCGCGUGAGGGAUGAAGGCCUUCGGGUUGUAAACCUCUGUCAGGGGGGAAGAAUCCGGAGUCGGUGAAUAACCGACUCCAUUGACGGUACCCCCAGAGGAAGCACCGGCUAACUCCGUGCCAGCAGCCGCGGUAAGACGGAGGGUGCAAACGUUGUUCGGAAUCACUGGGCGUAAAGGGCGCGUAGGCGGACUUGUAAGUCGGGAGUGAAAACUCGGGGCUCAACCCCGAGCCUGCUUCUGAAACUGCGAGUCUUGAGGACCGGAGAGGAAAGUGGAAUUCCUAGUGUAGCGGUGGAAUGCGUAGAUAUUAGGAAGAACACCAGUGGCGAAGGCGACUUUCUGGACGGUUCCUGACGCUGAGGCGCGAAAGCUAGGGGAGCAAACAGGAUUAGAACCCCCUGGUAGA